rnacentral:rRNA from 1 species
UACGAGGGGGGCGAGCGUUGUUCGGAAUUAUUGGGCGUAAAGGGUGCGUAGGCGGUUCCGCAAGUCCUGUGUGAAAUCUUCGGGCUCAACUCGAAGUCUGCACGGGAAACUGCGGGGCUUGAGUGUGGGAGAGGUGAGUGGAAUUCCCGGUGUAGCGGUGAAAUGCGUUGAUAUCGGGAGGAACACCUGUGGCGAAAGCGGCUCACUGGACCAUAACUGACGCUGAUGCACGAAAGCUGGGGGAGCAAACAGG